UACACAGAGUGCAAACGUUGUUCGGAAUUACUGGGCUUGAAGCGCACGUAGGCGGCGUUGUAAGUGUCGGGUGAAAUCCCACGGCUCACCCGUGGAACUGCCCGGCAUACUGCGAUGCUAGAGUGUGGUAGGGGAGAGCGGAACUCCUGGUGGAGCGGUGAAAUGCGUAGAUAUCAGGAGGAACACCGGUGGCGAAGGCGGCUCUCUGGUCCACAACUGACGCUGAGGUGCGAAAGCUAGGGGAGCAAACGGG
rnacentral:rRNA from 1 species